rnacentral:rRNA from 1 species
AUUGAACGCUGGCGGCAGGCCUAACACAUGCAAGUCGAGCGAGCGGCGGACGGGUGAGUAAUGUCUGGGAAACUGCCUGAUGGAGGGGGAUAACUACUGGAAACGGUAGCUAAUACCGCAUACCAUCAGAUGUGCCCAGAUGGGAGUAUCGAGUAGGUGGGGUAACGGCUCACCUAGGCGACGAUCCCUAGCUGGUCUGAGAGGAUGACCAGCAACACUGGAAAUGAUACACGGUCCAGAAUCCUACGGGAGGCAGAAGUGGGGAAUAUUGAACAAUGGGCGCAAGCGUGAUGCAGCCAUGCCGCGUAUGUGAAGAAGGCCUUCGGGUUGUAAAGCACUUUCAGCGGGGAGGCGUUACCCGCAGAAGAAGCACCGGCUAACUCCGUGCCAGCAGCCGCGGUAAUAC